UAGAUUUUAGCUUCUUUGACUACUUCUUUAUCCAUGUAUCUAUUUUUAUUAGUCUAUUUGAUUUGUUUUGUUUUAUGUACAUAUAUCAAUUAGGUUACCACCACACCCUCACUUCUUCUUCUACCUCCUUUUCUCUCUGCCUCCAAUUUGCCCUAAAUCUAACCCCUACACAACACAUCAUCGCACCUCUAUCAUCGCUCCUCCACCUCCACCGUCACACCAUGUCCACCGUCACAUAGCCAUCACCGUAGCACAAGUGCACAACCUCCACCGGCGCACCACCUAUGGCUUAUUGAAGAAAGCUCACGAUCUCCUGGUGGAGAUGGAGAUAGAUGAUGGCGGUGGUGGUGGAGAUUGAUGGUGGUGGAGCUGGUGGAGGUGGUGAUGGAUGGUGGUUGUUAUGGCAUGAGAGAGACAGAGAGAGGAGGUAGAAGAAGAAGUGGGGGGUUUGGUGAGAACCACAAAAGAUUAUUGUUUUAAUAAAAGCUUUAAAUAAAAAUAAAAAAAUGACCAUAUUGCCCCUGAGAAAAAGGACAAAAUACCAGGAUUUAAUUUGAGAAAUAUGACCUGAUUUAUUUUUGGACCAAAAUGACAAUAAAAGUAAAACCACAGGACCCAGAUGCAAAAGGUUUCAUAUUUGGACUAAAGUAGCAAAGUGACCAAACUUCAGGGACCAAAAUGGCAGUUUACUAACAUAUAAAAGAUAAGAUUUAAUGGUUGCCACGCUCAAAAAGGUCGCCUAGGCGAGUGCUUUUGAUAACAGUGAUUCCAACUCAAUCUCUCUCUCUCUCUCUCUCUCAACUUUAUAAAUUUCUUCGUCUUUUUUUAUAAAUUUAGCCAUGGAUCCGUACAAUCGAAACAACCCAAACCCGAACCCAAACCCAAACGUUUUCUCGGUACCUGGCUACUAUCCAACAAUGGAUUCGAGUUGGUCGGCAAAGCCCUAACGCUUUCACUCAAAUGAACGUUUUCACUCAAAUGAACGUUUUCAAUCAAAUGAACCAAAUGCAAUCCAUGCAACAAAUGUUAAUGCGAAAUCCGUUCAACUCGCAUUUUCAUUCUCAACCACAACCUUCACCGCCACCGGUAGAAUCGUCUCAACCCGUAGAAGAUGAAGUUGAAGAAUAUGUGCCGGAGACGCAACCCCAAACCUCCAAACAAAAAAAAGGAAGCACGUGGCGCAUCUAGCCGGUGAUCAACCUUCGAGAGCGAAGGCAAAGAUCGAGGAGGAGGCGUUAGCUAAGGCGUGGAUUAGCACGUCAAAAUGCCCAAUGGAUGGAAACAACCAAAUCGGCGAUGGUUUCUGGAAAGAAACACCAGCAAAAUUCCUUGCGAUUUGGAACAAGGUCCGUCUCGCGAUCUCUUCGAAGUGGCGAAAGAUGCAUCCGGUCGUGAACCGAUUUUGCGGGUAUUAUAAUAAUUUAUAUGUUAAUCGUCCAAGUGGGUGGAGUGACAAAAGUGUUUUUAAAGAGGUGAUGCGUAGAUACGAAGAUGAGCAUCGGCAGAUUUUCCCACACGUCCGGGCAUGGGAGAUUAUGCGAACAAAUAAGAAGUGGGUGCCGGUUCCAAACGAAGUUUCAAGCACUAAACAGACGAAAACCUGACUGGAAGUUAUUGUGCGAGGGGCUUGGACGCAUGAUGUCUUAGAAUUUUUUUAUUUUUAGCA